AUUGAACGCUGGCGGCAUGCCUUACACAUGCAAGUCGAACGGCAGCAUGGAGAGCUUGCUCUCUGAUGGCGAGUGGCGAACGGGUGAGUAAUGCAUCGGAACGUACCGUGUAAUGGGGGAUAACGUAGCGAAAGUUACGCUAAUACCGCAUACGACCUGAGGGUGAAAGCAGGGGAUCGCAAGACCUUGCGUUAUACGAGCGGCCGAUGUCAGAUUAGCUAGUUGGUGAGGUAAAGGCUCACCAAGGCGACGAUCUGUAGCGGGUCUGAGAGGAGGAUCCGCCACACUGGGACAGAGACGCGGCCCAGGCUCCUACGGGAGUCAGCAGUGGGGAAUUUUGGACGAUGGGGGAAACCCUGAUCCAGCCAUGCCGCGUGAGUGAAGAAGGCCUUCGGGUUGUAAAGCUCUUUCGGCCGGGAAGAAAUCGCACAGGCUAAUACUCUGUGUGGAUGACGGUACCGGCAUAAGAAGCACCGGCUAACUACGUGCCAGCCGCCGCAGUAA
rnacentral:rRNA from 1 species